UAGAGGGUAAACCUCCACACUGGAACUGAGACACGGUCCAGACUUCUACGGAAGGCAGCAGUGAGGAAUAUUGGUCAAUGGAGGGAACUCUGAACCAGCUACGCCGCGUGAAGGAUGACAGCCUUUUUGGUUGUAAACUUCUUUUGUAGAGAAAUAAAAUUUACUAUUAAUAGUAAACUGAAGGUACUAUACGAUAUAAGUGUCGGCUAAUUACGUGCCAGCAGCCGCGGUAAUACGUAAGACACAAGCGUUAUCCGGAUUUAUUGGGUUUAAAGGGUGUGUAGGCUGUUUAUUGAGUCAGUAGUGAAAGCUUACAGCUUAACUGUAAAAUUGCUAUUGAUACUGAUAAGCUUGAGUAAGAUUGGAGCGUCUGGAAUGUAUGGUGUAGCGGUGAAAUGCAUAGAUAUCAUACAGAACACCAAUAGCGAAGGCAGGACGCUAAAUCUUUACUGACGCUGAGUCACGAAAGCGUGGGUAGCAAACAGGAUUAGAUACCCUGGUAGUCCACGCCCUAAACGAUGAUCACUAACUAUUGGAAAAAUUAUAUUCAGUGGCUAAGCGAAAGCGAUAAGUGAUCCACCUGGGAAGUAUAGUCGCAAGAUUGAAACUCAAAGGAAUUGACGGGGUUCCGCACAAGCGGUGGAGCAUGUGGUUUAAUUCGAUGAUACGCGAGAAACCUUACCAAGGAUUAAAUGUAUUACGAAUAAAUUGGAAACAGUUUAGUCAUAUAUGACGUAAUACAAGGUGCUGCAUGGUUGUCUUCAGUUCGUGCUGUGAAGUGUUUGGUUAAGUCCUAUAACGAGCGCAACCCCUAUGGAUAGUUGCCAUCGGGUGAUGCCGGGGACUCU
rnacentral:rRNA from 1 species